CCUACGGGGGGCAGCAGUGAGGAAUAUUGGUCAAUGGACGAGAGUCUGAACCAGCCAAGUAGCGUGAAGGAUGACUGCCCUAUGGGUUGUAAACUUCUUUUAUAUGGGAAUAAAAUGUUCCACGUGUGGGAUUUUGUAUGUACCAUAUGAAUAAGGAUCGGCUAACUCCGUGCCAGCAGCCGCGGUAAUACGGAGGAUCCGAGCGUUAUCCGGAUUUAUUGGGUUUAAAGGGAGCGUAGGUGGAUUGUUAAGUCAGUUGUGAAAGUUUGCGGCUCAACCGUAAAAUUGCAGUUGAAACUGGCAGUCUUGAGUACAGUAGAGGUGGGCGGAAGUCGUGGUGUAGCGGUGAAAUGCUGAGAUAUCACGAAGAACUCCGAUUGCGAAGGCAGUUCACUGGACUGCAACUGACACUGAGGCUCGAAAGUGUGGGUAUCAAACAGGAUUAGAUACCCCUGUAGUC
rnacentral:rRNA from 1 species